AAUUGAUGUGACUGAGACAUGACUAAAAUUUUGAGAUGUAGAUUUUAUAGUUAUUUAUUUUAAUUGAUAAAUGUUCUUCUCAAGUUAUAUAACUCUAUAUUACUGUUGCAAUAUAUUUGUCUACAUAUUUACUUUGUUUGGUUAUAUUUAUUAUAUCAUAUUAUAUGUUUGAUCAAAUCAUUACAUAGCAUUCAAAAAGAUGAGCAAAAAGGGUAAAAAGCAUAGCUUAGCAUCUGAAGAUGAAAUUCAGGAAACUAUAGCUAAUAGGUUAUCGAGAAUGGACGCUAACAAUUCAUCACAUGAUUUGCAUGGUGAAGAAUAAAUUAAUGAUGACAAAACUCAAAAGAAAAAGGGAAGGGGUACGUCCAAACUGAAAAUGGUUAAUGGCCAAGAUAAGUGCAAAGAGCUGGAGCGUAAUGAGUUAGGACAACCGAUUGGAGAUAAUUUGGUGAAGUACGCUUCUUUUCUAGGGUGCAUGAUAAAGGAAUUUGUUCCAUAUACAUUGGAUGGAUGGAAUGAAAUAGGUGAAGAAGUAAAGGAUAGGAUGUGGAGUUGUCUUCAGCUGAGUUAUAAAGUUGAAGAUUGAGAAAAGAAAGUAAUUUUUCAAAAGUUAGCUAAAUUGCGGCGUGAUAAAAAAUCCAAAUUGCAAAUACUUGUAAGAGAAGUUAAUACAGGUCGAGUGGCUUCACGAGAUCUCAAUCUUUC